AGUCGAACGGCAGCACGGGAGCAAUCCUGGUGGCGAGUGGCGAACGGGUGAGUAAUAUAUCGGAACGUGCCCAGUCGUGGGGGAUAACGCAGCGAAAGCUGUGCUAAUACCGCAUACGAUCUACGGAUGAAAGCGGGGGAUCGCAAGACCUCGCGCGAUUGGAGCGGCCGAUAUCAGAUUAGCUAGUUGGUGGGGUAAAGGCCCACCAAGGCGACGAUCUGUAGCUGGUCUGAGAGGACGACCAGCCACACUGGAACUGAGACACGGUCCAGACUCCUACGGGAGGCAGCAGUGGGGAAUUUUGGACAAUGGGCGCAAGCCUGAUCCAGCAAUGCCGCGUGCAGGAUGAAGGCCUUCGGGUUGUAAACUGCUUUUGUACGGAACGAAACGGCUUCUUCUAAUAAAGGGAGCAAAUGACGGUACCGUAAGAAUAAGCACCGGCUAACUACGUGCCAGCAGCCGCGGUAAUACGUAGGGCGCGAGCGUUAAUCGGAAUUACUGGGCGUAAAGCGUGCGCAGGCGGUUAUAUAAGACAGAUGUGAAAUCCCCGGGCUCAACCUGGGACCUGCAUUUGUGACUGUAUAGCUAGAGUACGGUAGAGGGGGGAUGGAAUUCCGCGUGUAGCAGUGAAAUGCGUAGAUAUGCGGAGGAACACCGAUGGCGAAGGCAAUCCCCUGGACCUGUACUGACGCUCAUGCACGAAAGCGUGGGGAGCAAACAGGAUUAGAUACCCUGGUAGUCCACGCCCUAAACGAUGUCCACUGGGUUGUUGGGGUCUUCACUGACUCAGUAACGAAGCUAACGCGUGAAGUUGACCG
rnacentral:rRNA from 1 species